rnacentral:lncRNA from 1 species
GUAGAGCACCACCUUCGAGAACCUACACCGUUGGCGGCAGCCUUCUGCCAACACCGCCUAUCACUGCCAUGCAGCACUACCAUGGUGGUGGCAUCCCCCAAACAAACUCCGGCACGUGGUAUCUCACCUAUCAGCAACUCGCAACAAUGAUGCCUAUCAUGGCCCUGACCAACUAUCAGCAACUCGAGUAAUCCACCAC